UGCCCUGCAGCUUCCUAGGCU
rnacentral:miRNA from 1 species